rnacentral:rRNA from 1 species
CAACUUCCAACGGUGGAUCUCUUGGCUCGUGCAUCGAUGAAGAACGCAGCCAGCUGCGAUAUGUAGUGUGAAUUGCAGAACCCAGCGAAUCAUCGAAUCUUUGAACGCAAAUGGCGCUCCUUGGUUCUCCAUGGAGCACGUCCGUCUGAGCGUCAUGG